ACGAUUGAAGCCAGUCGUACCUUCGGGUAAUCAGCCUUUCGGGUGCGAUUCUGUGGGGUUUGAGGAGCUUAACACCUUCAUGCUUUGCAUAUUCGUGCUCUUGGGUGUACUUGCCCGUGUGGUUGGUUAACAUCAAUUUUGGUGGUCAUAAAAUGACUGGAGGAAUGUAGCUUCGAUCUUGUAUUGAAGUGUUAUAACCUUCGGUAGAUGUGAUGAUCGAGAUUGAGGAUUGCAACGGAUACCCUUCGGGGCUACCUGUCUGAUCUCUGAUCGUUGCUCUGGUGCCGAAAGCUUGCUUACGGUUAUCAAAGUCGAUGGUCAAUAGGUUAGAACGGGUUAAAUUCGUUAAGGAUGUUGACGUA
rnacentral:rRNA from 1 species